rnacentral:rRNA from 1 species
CAGCAGCCGCCGCGGGAAUACGAAGGGGGCUAGCGUUGUUCGGAUUUACUGGGCGUAAGGGCGCGUAGGCGGACUGAUAAGUCAGGGGUGAAAUCCCAAGGCUCAACCUUGGAACUGCCUUUGAUACUGUUUGUCUUGAGUUCGAGAGAGGUAAGUGGAACUGCGAGUGUAGAGGUGAAAUUCGUAGAUAUUCGCAAGAACACCAGUGGCGAAGGCGGCUUACUGGCUCGAUACUGACGCUGAGGCGCGAAAGCGUGGGGAGCAAACAGGAUUAGAUACCCGAGUAGUCCCUGUCUCUUAUACC